rnacentral:rRNA from 1 species
CACUCCUACGGGAGGCAGCAGUGGGGAAUUUUCCGCAAUGGGCGAAAGCCUGACGGAGCAAUACCGCGUGAGGGAAGAAGGCUCUAGGGUUGUAAACCUCUUUUCUCAGGGAAGAAAAAAAUGACGGUACCUGAGGAAUAAGCAUCGGCUAACUCCGUGCCAGCAGCCGCGGUAAUACGGAGGAUGCAAGCGUUAUCCGGAAUGAUUGGGCGUAAAGCGUCCGCAGGUGGCAAUUCAAGUCUGCUGUCAAAGGUCAGGGCUUAACCCUGCACAUGCCGUUGAAACUGAACAGCUAGAGUGCGGUAGGGGUAGAGGGAAUUCCCGGUGUAGCGGUGAAAUGCGUAGAGAUCGGGAAGAACACCAGUGGCGAAGGCGCUCUACUAGACCGCAACUGACACUCAGGGACGAAAGCUAGGGGAGCGAAGGGGAUUAGAAACCCCAGUAGUCCC